UCAGGUGAUCCACUCGCCUCGGCCUCUCAAAGUGCUGGGAUUACAGGCGUAAGCCACUGCACCCAGCCAAUCCCAGCACUUCAGGAGGCUGAGGCGAGCAGAUCACUUGAGGUCAGGAGUUGGAGACCAGCCUGGCCAACAUGGUGAAAACCCCAUUUCUACUAAAAAUAUUUAAAAAAUCAGCUGGGCAUGGUGGCACGUGCCUGUAAUCACAGCUACUCGGGAGGCUGAGGUAGGAGAAUCCCUUGAACCCGGGAGGCAGAGGCUGCAGUGAGCUGAGAUGACGCCUCUGCACUCCAGCCUGGGUGACAGAAGAUUGAUUGACUCACAGUUCUGCAUGGCUGGGGAGGCCUCAGGAAACCUACAAUCGUGGCAGAAGGCGAAUGGGAAGCAAGGCACAUCUUACAUGGUGGCAGGGGAGGUAAGGGGGGAAGUUCCACAUCCUUUUAUACCAACAGAGCACGUGACAACUCACUGUCACGAGAAUAGCAAGGGGGAAAUUCGCCCCCAUGAUCCUAUCACCUCCCACUAAGUCCCUCCCUCACCACGUGGAGAUUACAAUUCAAGAUGAGAUUUGGGUGGGGACACAGCCAAACCAUAUCACAUACAAACUCCAGAACUUAAAUCGAGUUCUCUGAGUUGAGCCGAUCUGGACUGGGUUUGGAAGUUGUGGUAGAAGUUUAACGCAUCCUGUAGGGAGGCUUCAGGUAUCUGACUGGGUCAGACAGAAACUGAAAUGGUUUUAGUGAAAGACCUCUAAUAGGUAAGGUUCCAGGAAAACAAACAAUUCUGGGCUCAUUUAAAUCCAGGGGGUCUGGGACUCCAUCGCAGGACUUGUGCUCUUCUAGAGAGAUGAUUGAAUCUUACCAAAAAUAAUUUAGAAUUUUGGUGGCCACAGUGGGGAAGUUUUAACCUAAAUAAAACUGCUCAUCUCCAGAAUGCAUUGAAAAAAAAGAGGGGGGAUCCCAAACACCCCAGAAAUAAUGGGUUGUAUUUUUGGUUGGCAAGCAGAGGGUUCUAAGUUCUCCAUCUUUCUCACUAGCCUCCUCUGAAUCUGCUGACUUCUUUGCUUGGUUACCUUCCCACCUUGACGAUGCAAUGAAAAAAAACCCAGCUAGAUAAGUUAUACAAGUUAGGCUGUCAAAUCAACCAUGUCUGCUUCUUUACCCUUAUGCCAUAGUUAAAAUCUUAAGCUCAGAGCAAUAAUAAAAGGUAUCCCUGUCCGGCAUAGAAAAUGCUUUGUCUGCCCUAUUUGUUAAUGGGCUCCACCCUGACCUCAGUAAUCUAGUUACACAUAUGUUGACAGGACCUGAGGAAGCUCAAAAUUGGAUGCAAGAGGCAGAAUGGUAUUGCUCUGAGGACAAUAUCCAAGGUCCACAAGCCCCUACUUGGUCCAUAUAUAGGCCAGAAGAAACCCAAACUUUUGACCGGGUGCAGUGGCUCACGCCUGUAAUCCCAGCACUUUGGGAGGCCGAGGAGGGUGGA
rnacentral:lncRNA from 10 species